rnacentral:ncRNA from 1 species
CUCUGGCUUAGUAAAUAAUCCAGGGCGAAAAGGAG